GAAGUCCAGCAAUUAUGAGCUCUUCUGACCUCCUCUUGAAGCUUUCAGAUGUGGUUUACAAUUUUGUUAUGCUCUGAGAAAGACUACUCCCUGCCCUGGAAGAUAGAGAUGUCAACCAAGUAUGUGUGGAUACCAGGAGCAGAACUAACACCAUAUUAAGUGCUGGCAUCCCCAGCAUUCACUCCUAAACUGAGGAUUCAUUCCAGUCAGCUCAGCUGGAAAAGCGUGCCAACGAAUAGCCUGGACAUCGAGAAGGGAACAACCCAGAGAGGUGAUGUAUGUGUGAGACACACAGAAGCUUCAGGUCCACAGCUGUCCCCACUGGAACUACAGCAGUGUGCCCAGCUCUCCAAAAGUUGGCUGAAAUACUUUGCAAGGAAAU